rnacentral:lncRNA from 1 species
GCCGGCCCCGGUUCCAGUACCAGGCGCGGAGCGAUGGUGACAAGGAGGACGUAUUGCCAUCAGAGAGUCAGCAAAGGUAGUUGACCAAGCCCAAAGGAGAGUGUUGAGGGGAGUUGAUGACCUUGACUUUUUCAUAGGAGAUGAAGCCAUCGAUAAACCUACAUAUGCUACAAAGUGGCCGAUACGACAUGGAAUCAUUGAAGACUGGGAUCUUAUGGAAAGGUUCAUGGAGCAAGUGGUUUUUAAAUAUCUUCGAGCUGAACCUGAGGACCAUUAUUUUUUAAUGGCCAUCCAGGACAUGUGCAAGCCAGCGACACUAUGGGCAGCUCUGGGAGCCAGUUUAUAUACCAACUCCUGAUGGUACGUCCAGCCUGCUGCCCAGGAAGGAAGCCAGUGCUGGCACCUGGAAGGCGCCUGGCGUGUAUGGGAGCACCAAGAGCAUGGGGAGAUGCACUGCAGCAGGCAGCACAGACCUACAGUCUGUUAUCACAGUCUCGCUCUCUGUAAUAAGCAGGUUAAUAAGGACUCUGGUCAUCUGCCCUCAUCUUCCAGUGCUACAAGUCAAGCAAAACUGUGGUGCCUGCCAGCUGAUUUCAUUCCCGGAAGCCCAAAGCUUUACCAGCAGGUCACUUCCAGCACACAGAUAAGGAGAUUAGCCACGCCUCUCACUUCACCUCCAGCUCCUCACUGUUCCAGAAUUACCAACUAUCCUAUUUCUGUUCAAAGCAGCCAAAAUUAACUGAGGGCUGCUCUUUGAGGGCUUCUGCAGGGAGCGUGGACCCUAUGGCCAGCAGGAGCAGCACCUCCCUCCCUCCCUCCCUCCACUAAAAACCUGUGGCGUCCCUGUUACAGAAUGGAAUGUGCUAGAUCUCUCAGGGAUGCUGAGGUACGAAACAGUUCGGGAAGACAGAACCAGAAGACGGUUCGGGAAGCCUGGGAUCAGAGUGGAGAACGACAGAGCUCUUCAGCAUGGUCCUUUGGUUUCCGAAGCAGUGCCUGGCACCUCAUGAUGGCUCAAUGCUCGUCAUUCAUUGCCACUAUGAAAUAUUCCUGAAGGGCGUUUCCUCCAGGCUGUGGUACUGUCUGGAGAAUUAUCGUGGCUCCCUGCUCAAGCCUAUGACUCUAGGGCCACCAUCUCUGACCUCGGCACCAUCCACCCCCAGCAAUGCGCAGAUUGGACGAGGGCUCGCUAGAGACUUCAUCCUGCACGCAGGCGCUGCCCUCUGUUGGCCAUACUCUUUGUGUGCAGCUUAACUUUUCUUGGUUACCUUUACUUUUUUUUCUCAGUGGCUUUGUCCUCUGUCUCAGCGUGGCCUCCAAGGCCACUUCCUGCUCUGCCACUUGGUAUGGUUCAGGGCUGCCCUGCUCUCAGUCACGGCCCAUUUUUAGAGCUUUUUUGCAUCGUGUAGGUCCGUGAGCAUCUGUGUCAGAGGCUGAUAUUUACUGAUGUGCCUCCCACAUUGGGGAUGGUGUUGGGGGCACGGGUGGGGUUUGAAACUGAUAACUCUAACAGAAGUUGGGUACAUAGUGACUGUGUCCAAACCCCUGCACCAAGAGACUGGACCAACCCUAGCAUGGCUUCUGGCAGCCCAAAGCGGCAUCCCUGGGACCACCUGGCCACCCUUUGAGUUCCUGUCUGAAAAAGCUCAAGGCCGUCAAAAUCAUUUAGUGUUUGUUCCUACCAACACCUGACAACAGGCCUCUGACCACCCCCUCACUUUCUUAGAGCAUUUACGUUAAAAACACUUAGAGUCGUACCUCCUUCCCUUGUCCCUUUGAGAUGUACAUGCAUGUGUGUCCAGGAGUGUCUUUCUCAAGAGCCUGAGAGCCAGUCCUUUGAAAUGGCAUCAUCAGGAAGGAUGGGGCCUGUCUCCCAGGCUCUGGGGGAGGCCAGAACCUAACUUCCAUCACUGCCAGCUGGCACACACAGCUGGCCCGGCCACAAUAACACAGACAGCCCUUUGUAAUUUUUCACUCCCAUGAUUCCUGAGCCCUGGAAUGCCCUUUCCCGACUCCUACGUUCUCCCAUUAAACUGUCCAGUCCCCCUGCACAGAUCUGAAUGGAGCUCAGCUUCUCCCCUGUCAGUGGUUAAUGAAUAAGGUCUGUUUUCGUAGCUUUAACUAAGGUCCAGCUUAGUUUAUCUUUGACAGACCUACUUACCCUGCAGGUUCCCACCUCGGGCCUGGAGGGAAAGCCUCUGGGAGGAACACGGUCCUCACCAAAGGGUGGGAGACCAGAUCGUGCCAGGGAGUGGAGUGGACAUGAGCUCUGGGACCCUCUCCUCUCUCCCGGAAUGGCUGCACAGGAAGGAAGGAUGGAAGAUGUGAGAAAGGCCACCCUGCCUGGGAAGGAGCUACCAGCCCUCAGCAGUCCAGAGGCUGCCCAGAGAGCAGCGAGCAGCUCUCCAGGACUCCACCUCCCAGGCCCAGAGGAUGCCACCCAGGGGGCUCAGUGAGAAUUCAGCCACAGCCACACACAUCCCGGGAGAGUGUCUAAAGAUGCCACCAAUCCAAUAUCACAGAAGGCAAGAACCCAAAGAGCAGAAGCCGAGACAAGGAAGUAGCCAUUUUGGAUACAUGCCCCCCACCCCAAUCCUGGGCCAACGUGGAUCUUCAGCAUCCUGAACCUGAAGCCCCCAUGGUGGGCCUGUGGCGGGCUGGGUGUGGCUUCAGAGGUGCAGCGGCAGGAACUGGCAGAGUGGUUCCCCCAGGCCCAGGGCUGACCCACAGCGACAUGGGAAAAUGGGCCCAGUAGGUCCCUCCUUGUUUAGCUCCCUUUGGUCUUUCCAGGUCCAGCUUCACUGGGUCCACGGGGUCCCCAUCCUGAGGUCACUGUGUUUCUCACCCCCCACCUGCCCACUCGCUCCCAGCCCACUGCAGUCUGACUUUACUGCCCAUCACCAAAGAUGCCAGCUGACCUUGACUUCUUGGGGGUAGAGGACAAUGGGGGUCUGUGUUACCUCAACCACUCUCUCCUGUUGAACCUCUCAUCCUCCUGAGUGACACUCACCUGGUUGUCUUCCGGCUACCUGCAACCUCCCGGCAUCCUCCACAGGCCACCUUCACCCACCCACCCCGUGAACUCACACUCCUUGGGGUUCUCUUCUGGGUUUUUCUCACUCUGAACCCCCUGAGCAACCUGCACCCCUCAGGGAUCACCGGUUAUUUAUGCCGAUGGCUCCAACUCUGCCUCCUGCAGCCUCAUCUUCCUCCUGACCAUCCGCCCCACCGCCCAGCCAGCCACUACCUACACUUCCACGGGGUGCCCUGGACACACACGACUCACCAGGAAACAAAGGAACACCUCAGCUCCCACAGCCACUCUCAGACCUGCCCCUGCUGCACUCCCCACCACGGGCAGCCUCGGUCUCUAUGGGUCACAGCCAAGCAGCUCCCCCCUCGCUUCUCUGUCCUCACCACUUCCACCAGGGGCCCUAAUAAAGAUGUCAAACCAGCCUGCCGUCCACUGUGCAGCUUGUAGAGAUAGAUAAUGCUAGAAAUCCAGUUGGCCAUGUCACGGCCCUGCUUUAAAUCCCUUUCACGGCUCCCAUGGCCCUUGGGAUCCAUCCAAGCUCCUCAGCUGGCUUUCCGCCCUCAGUGCUCUGGUGCCUCCAUUGUGCGUCUUCCAGUCCCGCCCCACCCUCCUGUCCCUCCAGGGAAGUUCUUUCAGCUCUGCCCUGGGCUACAGGCUGGGCUGGAGGGCUGGGCUCCCUCUGCCCACUUCCCCACUGGACCUGCAGCGAGAUGUGCUGGCAGAUCCCAGCCCUAGGCUAUUUCAUGAAGGAGGCUUUGAAGCCUCUGGCGACCUGCUUCACUGCAGGAGUCCUGCACUGUGUCCUCUGGGGCCCAGACGAGUGGUGCUCAAAGCUGCACUUGAACAAGUCCUCGGUCUUCCUGCCAGGCCUGGUUCUCCGCCGAAUCCGGGCAGUCAGCAGGGGGCCGGAUUUUCCUCCAGAUCUCAGGAAAGUAGUCCUGGAUAUCUGUGUUCAUAACUGCAGCUCCCAGAAUCCUUCCCUGCUCCCCUCCCCAGACCCACCCACUGGAGAAACAAGAAUCAGGUGGGCGGGGCAGGGGACCUGCACACAGGCAGAGGCCAGGGCUUUGUCACCAAACAGUAAUCUUUUCAUCACCAUUAUUUAUUAUAUAUGAACCAGGUUUUCAGCACAAGUCACACUCAACACCCUUACCCAACAGGAGGGGCGACGGAGGCUCAGAGAGGGAGUGUAGGGGGAGGAUGUCAAUGGGAGGCCCCAGCCUGAGCCCUGAGCAGCUGGCCAGCCAGGAACUGGCAUGUGAGUGAGAGGCAUCCUAUUCUCCUGCUGCUCCAAAGACAAUGCCCGCUGAACAGGAUGGCAGGCCACAUCAGCAGUCCAUACAGAAGUGAGGCUGUCGUUUCUUCCCCUGGAGCACCAGUGAGGACAGGCCCCAGCUGGGAGCCAGGCAAGGUGGGUGAGCUCUGUGCUAACCACACUGGGAGCUCGGGUAAGCGUGAGGGCAAGGCUGGAGAGGUCCGGGACCCCUGCGUGUUGCUUCCCACUCCUGCCAGGCUGGCACGCCCCCAUUCUUCACCAUCCCUAGCACAGAGCCCAGGGCCAGGGGGCAGAGGGCGGGGCUGGCUCAGGAGCAGGGCUGGCCCGUCCCAUAGCGCCACUCACAUUGCCCCUUCCCCUCUCUCAUCCCAGCUCUGGUCACUUAGAUGCUGCCAUGAGAGGCUCUGAAAUCCACCCCCACUGCAGCCAAAAGCCCAAGUCAGAGCCAAACCUGCACUGUGCUCGGACUGACAGGCUGGGGUCGGGGGAGGGAAGACAUCCACUGAGGGAGGUCCAGGUGGCAGGAGGCGGAACAGGAUACUCUGAGGAGACACAGCAAAGGGUGCCAACAUCUAGGACUGAGGCCAUCUGGACCCACAUGACUAUGUUGCUUUUUGUGUGUGAAUGUUUCUCUGCUUCAACAUUUUCAGAAAUUUCACAUCUAGACGUGUCAGAAAAUUAACAAUUCCAUGCCAGAGAAAAGGCCUUGCCUAUAACCCAAUAGAGGCCCCCCCAGUUCCCAGCAGGAUGGUGGCAGAGCUGCUGACUGGGCACUGACUCCCCCGCCUGGGCCGGAGCACCCUCUCCAUGAGGACACGUGUCCUCCUCAGGAUGGGCUGAGUCCUGGCAUCUGCCCCGUCUGUAAAGGGAAAGACCCCACCCAUACCAGCUCCCCAGCAGCAUCUCCUUGGGAAAGAGGGCAAACUCCAGAGCAGUGCGGGUAUUGGAGCAGGACAUCCCCUCGGCCGCUGCUGUGCCCAGGGCUCCCCAGGGCCCGGGCUGGCUGGGAAGACUGGGAAGACUUCCAGGAACCAGGCAGGCCCUGCGGGUCCGGGUCUCUGGGUGCCAGCAGGAGGGAGCUGGUGACCAGACAUAGUUGUGUGGGGGAGGGUCCGGACGAAGGGGUUGUCAGGGACAGUGGAGCCACAGUCAUUCCGAGAGCUGGGCACCUGAAAAGCACAUCACAUGGAAGGGUCCCGGCCUUGCAGUGGAGACUCCACUGCCCCCAACCCUCCCUGGAAAGCCCCCUCACCCCUGCCCAGAUAGUCCUCAGCUUACCCUUUCCCUCCCUCCGUCCAGGUUAGGGCCCAGGUUAGGGUCUUGCCUUGGGGUGAAGCGCUGUGAGGAUGGGGGAGGGGGGUGCUGGGAGCAUGGUUCCCAUUUCAUCCCUGGCGGCCAACACAGGCCAGGCAGGAAGGGAGUUGAUGUUCAGUCCCCUCCCCACCUUUUCUUUUCAUGAAAUAAAUAGAUGCCUGAAUCCCAACAAGAACUCUAACCAAAUGAAAUCAAAACCAAACCCAGAAGUGCCAUACCAACCCCAUGUGCCUGCCGGAGUGUGGAUGGCUCCCUGGGCCCUUCGUCACCCUGGGAACACAGGCCCUGCCAUCUGCUGGGUUGGCCGCAUCCAAAAUAAUAUGACCGAGGCCUGCCCUGGGUGUGGGAAAGCCUUGUCUUUCCCCUCUUCCCCACCCACACCCCUCGCCCACACAGUACCUGGGUCGGGGGCGGCGGGUCACUCCCACAGGAAGCGCACGUACCAGAUGGUCUCAUUCUUCAGCUGGGGCCCGAACAGGGGGUUCAGCUGCGCCAGGAUGGCGAUGAGCCAGCUGCCAGGGACAGCA